GAAGUGGCUGCCCUGGAGUGAACACGUGACCCGCGACUGAGAAUCUCGGCAGCUCCCAGACGUGCGGCACAGAGAGGAGGAAGCUGGGACGGAGGCUCUUGUCAAAGGACAAGAAAGUGUCUUAGAGCAUCUGUGGACAUCUGGGGGCCUCCUACCCCCUGCCCAGUGGUGAGAAGGCCAUCAACCACAUGGAGGACCAAGCUGGGUCAAAGAGGAACAAGGACUCCCACAUCUCACAGGACAGAAUGAGGAGGACAGAGAAGAUGAGAGAACUGAAGUUUCAAGAAUUUGUUUCCCAAGAUCACAGUCAAAUUAGGAGCAAAGCUACAACCAGAGCAUAUAGAGCAUUGCAGAGGUAAGAACAACAGAAUGUGCCCAGGAUAUUCACAUGCAAAGCUGGACAUACUCCUCUGUUAAUGCUGUUCCUUCCACACAACCUCCACCCCCAGAAAUAGAGGGGCUUCUUCCUUUGUGCCAUGGCCCUACACUGGGCCCUUCUUCCUCUCCUAUGGAUGACCCAGGCCCUCCACAGGGGUCACUGGCCCGUGUGUACAUAUGUAUAUACAAGUCCUGCCUAUAAGUCAUUUUGAUUGUUUACACUUUUCAACAAAUAUUUCUAGAGCACUGCUGGAGCCAGGACACUGUGCUAGA